GGUAUACAAACUUCGGCGUGCCGAAGUUAGCUUCCUUUCUUGUUUUUUCAUAAUUUUAGGCUUUAUUGCAUUUAUAUAGCUACAGACCAGUUAUUCAAAAUAUUUUCCAUCGCUGGCCCCACCAUUUUUUCCCAUCUUUCCGGCAGCAUGUGAAUCCCACGUCGAAAAAAUUGUUCAUCUUUGGACGCGAUCCAUUGAUCUAGCCAAUUUUUGACCUCUUCGUAUGAUCGGAAGUGCUGUUCAGCGAGGCCAUGCGUCAUUGAUCGGAACAAGUGGAAAUCCGAAGGAGCGAUGUCUGGAGAGUAGGGCGGGUGGGGUAGAACGUACCAUUUCUACGUUUCCAGUUAAGUUUUUACGACCUUGGCAACAUGAGGCCGGGCGUUGCCGUGUAUAACUUUAUCGUGCCUUUCCUUGUAUUGUGGCCGUUUUUCCUUGGCUCAUGCGCAUCAACUGGGUCCGGUAGAGUGCUCCUGUGAUGGAUUCGCCUGGUUUCAAAAGUUCAUAGUACACUACGCCUAGUUGGUCCCACCAAAUACAGAGCAGUAGCUUCGAACCAUGAAUGUUUGGCUUUGUCGAUGCAUGGCCGGGUGGCCCCCAUGAUUUUUACCGCUUAGGAUUAUCGUAAAGAAUCCACUUUUCAUUGUUGGUAACGAUACGAUGUAAGAAACUUUUGUUACGACCUGAGUUUUACCGAUGGGGCAAGGCCGGCUAGCCAAUCUCCUCUCAGGGGGGAUUUCUCCCCAUUCGCCCGCAGGUCGCACCAUAAAUUCCAGCUGAUCUGGAAUCCGCAAAAUAAAAUAAAAAAAGACAACAAGGACCGACAAGAAAGGUAAAAAAACUACAUUACUCUACAACAAUUACUUCCGGCUUACUUCAUCUCUCUCUUCUCCUCUCUCGGAGUGUAGGCUUGGGCUUGGCUGGAAUCGCCCUGGACGCCCCUCCCUUCCAGAGAUCCGGACUCUCAUCUUCUGCGGAUCUCCCCUUGGCAGGCGGACUUCGCCGGCCUACUCCUGACUACGGUCUAGUCAUCUUUAAAUCGGAAACGCUUAGCAACUCAUCGUUAUAAACAUUUUAAUUUCCUAGAUAAUCAUACAUAUUUAAUUUUGACAUAUAACUAAUUAACAAACUUUUAUUUCUCCUUUUCAGAACAUCACAUGGGCAAAACAAUACCAGAAAAUACGGAAAUUGCAUCAACGACGAUAGAGACAGUGGAGCAGCGAACAACGGAGAAGACAACGAUUUUCUUGCACAGCUACAUCCUACCUACUUGGAGCUCCAAAUUAGAGGAAGGGACUGAGACGGGACUUCCGAAAUUACUUUUCUUCACAAAUAUACCCCUACACUACAAACCGGCCUUCGCAGCGCAGUCGCAUCAAAGAUCUAUCUCUCCUCUUGAUUUAAGUUUUAAUUUAUGUUAAGUUUUCUGCAAUUGAAAGAGCUCCAAAAUAAAUAAGAAGUCUUCAUAUGCUGA